UUUUUGGGCAAGGAAUAUUCCAAUAUAAUCAGAUUUAACUAAAUGCCUUAAUAGACAAGAAUGUGAUUGCUAGAGUUGUUACUUUAAUAAAGGAAAAGAGCAGAGAAGGAAAAAAGGACUUGACAGUGCAGGCUAUACGAUCCUCCCCAAGGGAACCCAAGCCCCUUUAAAUUCAAGAAAGGAAGAUUAUGAAAUUGGGACAAAGUGUAAUUCCUCAGCUGAAGCUAACUCAGGGGUCCCCUGUCCGCCCUUUUUCUUUUUGAAAUGGUCCCUUGAUCAACAGGUUUGGCGGCAAGGCAGCUAAUGGUCAGAAGAGUUUUGGGAAAAUUUUGGACAUCGGAACCGUAUUAUAUUACAUGGGAUUGAAUCUCCCCCUUCUUCUUGGUUCAAGGGAAACUGAAACAAAAUAGGAAACAGUGUUGCAAGAUAUCUAGGACUGGAUAUCUCAACGGGAUGGAAUAAGUGAAAGGAAGCAGGGAAGAUUAGCAUUAAUCAUGGAAUUCCAUAUGGAUGGUUCUAGUUAAACAUGGGGUGCAUCGGACACAGUCUCGCUUUUGGUCUUAGUUGUUAUAGCCUUAUAGGUGUUUUCUGAUUGCGCUACUACUCUUGUAGUUGUGACCCUCUCACAUUUUGUUCAGCUUAGUCAGGGACUAUUAUGCAGUAGUUGUUCUAAUGCUUAACCAUGAAAAACCUCAGUGGUUUUAUAUAAGCAGCUACUUACUACAUGCUACAUUUUGCUGUAAAGUACUAAAGGGAUUUGCCCUUACCACAUUAAUAGCGGUGUAACAUCCAUUCUGUCGUAGGAGCACAUACUCUUAUUUAUUUCUGCGAGCAUUAGAAGUUCCUUUUUAUC